UCCGCAUCCACACCAACAUUUAUUGUUAUGGGGCUUUUUGAUAAAGGCCAUUCUCACUGGAGUUAAGUGAUAUCUCAAAUCUUGUUCCUUUUGUCUGUCCCUUGAAACACGUUCCUGACUUGUGGCCAGGGCUCUGGUUUCCAGCCUAUUUCAAUUGACCACCCACAGGCUGCAACCCUUUAUGAGAAAUAAAGCUCUCUUUUUCCAUCAUUAUUUUUUUUUAGUUAACUCUGGGCAGGUUCUCUGACCUUUAUUGGGAUACCUGCCCUCAGCCUCCUGGUUCUCCAUCCUUGGUUUCUUCUCACAGGAAUGCUGAGUAGUGCCCUGGUCCGCACGUGUGCUUUGCCCCGGAGAUGCGCUCUUCUGCUAUCACCUCCACAACUCUCUGGGCUCAGGCUUCCUGGGGGUCCACUCUGAGCUUUUUGCUGAUCAUGGUCAUUGCAUCCAGCUGACUUCUGAGGGAUAAGUGCCACCACUCAGCUCUCUGGUUCAGGGUCCUAUCACCCCCCUUACUACCAGGCAGCCCCACUCUGUAAAACCUCUCCCACUGUCUGCCCAGGCCUGCAGAGGAGCACCACCCCUGAGCCCCAGUGGUGUGGGUACGUGAUGGCCUUGGCGAGGGAUGCUUCCUCUGAGCCCUCCUGUGCAACACAAAUACCUGGCAAAGGGAGCUUAAACUACAUAGCCAUUCUUCAGGCUGCUGCUCUAGGCAACAGGGCCUAGAGUCUGCCAGGACCACUAAGAAUUCCUCCCAGAAUUAGGGAUGGGGCACGUGUCCUUGGCUCCCAGCCUCCACUGUUGGAAGAUUGCCACCAGAUGUAUUAAUUCCCAUGCACUUCCGGGCUGCACUUCCAAGACUCCCAUGAUUUGGAGAAGGCAGAAAAGCAAAGAGAUGCAGGACAUAGGCUUGAGGCAGGUGGCUGUCAGUAGGCAUCUGAGCUUUCAAGGAACUGUCUACCACGGUGGCGGCUGAAAUCAGAGAGUUUCAACAUUAAAUUAUCUGUGCAUUGGAAAGGAGUAUUAGCAGAACCCAUUUAAGAUGCAGUGUGAGGAAAAAAGAAAAUGAAGAAAGGAAGGAAGGAAAGAAGAACAAAGAAAGAAAGGAAGGAAGAAAAGAAA